UAGAAAAAUUGCCGACAUUCAAGCAUACUAUAGAUGUUCCAGAACUGCUAAAGGGAAGUUCUAGUAGAAAGGACAACUAAGCGAAAGGCCUUCUUAGAAAGGCGGAGUGAUAGGUAAUGCCCUAUUUCCUAACAGUGAAAUCUAAGAUCAGACAAGAAAGAAGCUUAAGGCUAGGCAAAGAAGACGAGGGAGAAAUCGUAGGUGAAAACGUUGGGUUACCAACUCGGGUGGGUUCUCACACCAAGGUUCCUUUGUUUUGGGCAAGCCCAAUUACAAAUAAAAGAGAAGGUCGGUCCCGUACUCAAACCAAAUCAGAAGGGCGGUACUCACUCGGAUGGAAGAAUCCCAGGUCGGUCCCAUACCCGAACAAAGGCUAGACCGAAGGUCCCGUCCCACGGGUUAGGUGCUUAGCUGAAGGUGGAAGGCGAAGCCAAGGCAAGAGCAAGGGUUGAAAGACAAUAUAGAAGAAUUCCAUCUCCCCUAUUUGUUCCAUUCUCAAUGGUUGGUCAAGUUGAGAUGAACUACGGGAAUCUAUAUAUGGACUUCAAGGUCAAUCAACCCAUGCAAGGAAACUCGACGGAAUUUGUUUUUUUAUGGAUUCAAGCAAAGAAUGAGAAGUAUGGCUUGGCUAGGGAAGCAGUAGUAGUGGCAGAGGUCGAGCUUUGAGAUGAGAAGAGGGCUGAGUCGUCUAGCUUUUAUUCCAAAAUCACGUAUCACCGAUCAGCCUAUUCGAGAGGAGCUGCUUGCCUUGCCCACUUCAAUAAGGAAGACUCCAUCCAUCUAACCCAUAUCCAUUGGAACCAGAAGCGAGUGGUAAAGUCACCCUUUGGCUAAAAAACGAUUUGUAUGUGUGGCGCAACACACACCUCUGCAAAAGAAGAGAAAGAACGUUAAGAAGCGUCCCCACAAGACGACAAGUGGAUUGAAUAUCCUUUGCUUUCGUCACCGGUGCUAUUGAAUCCGCAUUUAGAAGAAAGAGCUCCGGGACUGAAUUGCUUUGAGUGGGGCUUGCCCAUUAAUUAGAUCACCUGAGUAAGCCAAGAAAGACGAAAGCGAUGGAUGUAUGUGACAAAGAGAACUUAUGAACAUGAAAGCCAGCCUUUUCCCUAAAUAUUUUAGGAAGCGAAGAAGACAGAAAAAAGUUCGGUAAUCUUCUCCCUUUGGUAGGCAUUUACCCAAAGCACUGAUAUUAUGAGUCUCUCGAUUAUACGUGAAAUAGGGAGUUCAAGGUCUUAUUCGUCUUUCUUGGCCUAUGUGAAUA
rnacentral:lncRNA from 1 species